GACGAACGCUGGCGGCGUGCCUAACACAUGCAAGUCGAACGAGGUCCAAGGGAGCUUGCUCCCUGACGACCUAGUGGCGAACGGGUGAGUAACACGUGAGAGACCUGCCUCGGAGUGGGGAAUAACUCGGGGAAACUCGAGCUAAUACCGCAUACCUUCACAUGAUCGCAUGGUCGAGUGAAGAAAGAAUUUCGCUCUGAGAGGGUCUCGCGGCCUAUCAGCUUGUUGGUGGGGUAACGGCCUACCAAGGCAACGACGGGUAGCUGGUUUGAGAGAACGAGCAGCCACACUGGGACUGAGACACGGCCCAGACUCCUACGGGAGGCAGCAGUGGGUAAUCUUGCGCAAUGGGCGAAAGCCUGACGCAGCAACGCCGCGUGCGGGAUGACGGCCUUCGUGGUUGUAAACCGCUUUCAGCAGGGACGAAAAUGACGGUACCUGCAGAAGAAGCCCCGGCUAACUACGUGCCAGCAGCCGCAGUAAAAC
rnacentral:rRNA from 1 species